rnacentral:rRNA from 1 species
UACGGAAGGCAGCAGUGGGGAAUAUUGCACAAUGGGCGCAAGCCUGAUGCAGCCAUGCCGCGUGUAUGAAAAAGGCCUUCGGGUUGUAAAGUACUUUCAGUCGUGAGGAAGGUGUUAAGGUUAAUAACCUUAGCAAUUGACGUUAGCGACAGAAGAAGCACCGGCUAACUCCGUGCCAGCAGCCGCGGUAAUACGGAGGGUGCGAGCGUUAAUCGGAAUUACUGGGCGUAAAGGGCACGCAGGCGGUUAAUUAAGUUGGAUGUGAAAUCCCCGGGCUUAACCUGGGAAUGGCAUUCAAGACUGGUUAGCUAGAGUCUUGUAGAGGGGGUAGAAUUCCAUGUGUAGCGGUGAAAUGCGUAGAGAUGUGGAGGAAUACCGGUGGCGAAGGCGGCCCCUGGACAAAAGACUGACGCUCAUGUGCGAAAGCGUGGGGAGCAAACAGGGAUUAGAUA